rnacentral:rRNA from 1 species
UACGAAGGGGGCUAGCGUUGCCCCGGAAUCACUGGGCGUAAAGGGUGCGUAGGCGGGUCUUUUAAGUCAGGGGUGAAAUCCUGGAGCUCAACUCCAGAACUGCCUUUGAUACUGAAGAUCUUGAGUUCGGGAGAGGUGAGUGGAACUGCGAGUGUAGAGGUGAAAUUCGUAGAUAUUCGCAAGAACACCAGUGGCGAAGGCGGCUCACUGGCCCGGUACUGACGCUGAGGAGCGAAAGCGUGGGGAGCAAACAGGG